UACGUAGGGCGCAAGCGUUAUCCGGAAUUAUUGGGCGUAAAGAGCUCGUAGGCGGUUUGUCGCGUCUGCCGUGAAAGUCCGGGGCUCAACUCCGGAUCUGCGGUGGGUACGGGCAGACUAGAGUGAUGUAGGGGAGACUGGAAUUCGUGGUGUAGCGGUGAAAUGCGCAGAUAUCAGGAGGAACACCGGUGGCGAAGGCGGGUCUCUGGGCCGAAAUUGACGCUGAGGAGCGAAAGCGUGGGGAGCAAACAGG
rnacentral:rRNA from 1 species